UUGCACAAACUGAUGGCCCCCUCCUUGCUGUCUGUCUAUGGCCCUGGGUCAUUUCCCUAACACACCAGGAACCCAUGUGUUCAGUCUCCUUGGCAAGGCAUUUGGAGUCUUUCUCUGUGUCACAACUAGUGCCUCAUCCUCUAAGGGUAAGCCUUGUGACAGUGACACAGUGCUGCGUGUGGAUGCAUUUAAAUUUAGGUGAAAAUGCUCAAAAGAAAACCCGAAUUAACACUGAAUUCAGACUCCAAAGUACCUUCCAUUUCUUGUUGUGCUGAGCAGUCUCUGCUACUUAGCGGUGGGUGAGCCUUGAGGUUAUUUCCCCAUCUUUCUUAUCUCUCCUUCCUGGGGCUGCAGAGAGAACCCAGGUCUUUGCAUAUGCAAAGCAAGGGCUCCUUCACCGUCACCGAGUUGCAGUUAUCCACAGUUAGCCUCAGCCUAACCCUUCCCUAUAUACUAAGAUCUUUGCAUAGUCAGUUAUGUAAUCCUCAUGAUAAUCCUGUGUUAGUCCCAUACAAUAGGAGAGAAACCUGGGGACUCAGAUUGGCUAAUAGAUUACUAAACUUCACAUCGCUAAUGAUAAGAGAGCUGGCAUCUGACCCCAGAAAGUCCGUAUCUUCCACAAGCCAAGGUUUUUGGCCAUAUUAUUGCCCCCUCUCUUAAAUCAGCUUCAUUGAACUGUUCUAGCACUGAAAGUGCUUAGUACGGAGCUGGCAUCCCUUGCUUCUUGAUGAAGUAAAAGGUAUUCUGAGGUUCUGCCUCUAGAUUAUACCUUCUUUGUACCCAGUGACCCAGACAAACAACUCUCAUAUUAGUGUGUAUGUAGUAAGGCUGAUUGAUGGCCAGUAGAACUGUAUGGAAUUGCCAAUCCCGAGCCAUUUCUAACUUUUUCGAAUGGUCAGUCUAAUGUUUGCUGAGCCCCUACUUACUUGGGUCCAAGCUUGGUUCUUGGAGUUUUCCUUAUGCAUCUCCUGUAAUGUUCACAGAAAUCUUUUGGAGUGUUUUUACCUCCGUUUUUAAAUUUAUUUUUAUUUUUAUUUAUUUUUUCUUCACAAGGAAACAGACAGACUUACAAACUGAGAAUCAGUCACCGGCUGAGUCAGUAGAGUCAGGCACAUGCUCCAUCCUUUCUACUGCACAGCUCCUCAGGCCGGGGCUGGGAACUAAGUGGGACUUGCCAUCCAGUAGGUGAGGAAGCAGGAUCACAUCAAGUGGCAGACUGAAGUGACCGUCAAUUUCGACAGGAAACAUGAGUCAAAAGGGGAAGCGACAUGACCUCUAGAAGAUACUCAGUUGUGACGCAGAGUGAUCGUCAGCUUGGGAAAACUGAGUCAUGUCAAGUUACUGUAGUUUGUGCCAGAAGGGUUAAUGACACAAAAGCCUCAAGGGGACUGGGAAGCUCUGGGCAAGAAAGCUGAUGUGACUGAUGAUACCGGUGGAAGCCCCUGAUGAGGAGAGCCACACACCAAACCCACUGGCAUCUUCCACCUCCAGACUGUAUGAGAGAUGAUCUGGAGAUCUUUCCGUCCCCAAACUUCCCCCUUUUGUAUCCUAUAAAACCCCUAGGUCCCCAUGCUACAUGUACACAGUCUCCACUUCUGCAGAGAGACUGCAGCCCCAAGUUUCUUCUUUUAAACAAUUCUGCUUCUGGAGAUGCCUGUCUGCUCUUACUUCCACAUUUUUCCCAUCAAUCGUGAUGUAACAGUGUCAAGUUGACAAGAAAAUUAGCCAGCACAAGCCUGAUGCACUAACCGUGCUCCUCCAACAUUCUAGAAGAAAACCAUAGCCACGUGUUAAUGUAUGUUCAAUUACAUUCUCUAAAAAUUCCUCUCCCGUACGACCGACUGAAGAACAAAUUGCUUUGCAGCAAAGCCUGAGGAAAUUUCAUGACACAUUAUUGGAUCUGUUUCUUUUGAAGAAUGGCUUAAUUUCAUUUCAGAACCAAGCCCUGCAAUUUACACUUCAUAUUCCUCAUUGACUGUUUCUGCUGUGUUAAAGGGCCAAGGUAAGGCCUCUAUAGGCCAUGCUAUCUUGUGAAAAGUAAGUAGUUCUCUUGAUUGCUUGGAAGAUUCCUUGAUAUCUCUUAAGUAUGUGCAGGAGGAUGCAGGAUGUACAAAGGGAAGUGAUGGUCGUCAAAGGCUUAGGUUGAAGGUUCUAGGCUCCAGUGACGGAAAGGACUAGUGGGGUCCUUUAAAUAGUGUGGUGGCCAAUCAGAGAAAUUACCUAGAACCUUAAGAUCUUUAGAACGCCACAGUUAGCUUUCUGUCACGGUGAUAAACAUUCAAUCAACGUAAGUGAAAGAAAGGUUCGUUCUGUCCUAUAGUUUGAUAGGCAUCAGUCUACAGUUGCUUGCCCGUUACUUUGAGCUUGUGAUAGCUCAGGGUGUCAUGGUUAGAGCAUGGAGCAGAAGAGAGUGUUGCGACAGCCAGGAAGCAAAGAGAACCACGGAGGGCCUCAACCCCCUUCAAGAGCCUUCUCAGCAUGGGUCUUGUCUAAUCAUCCAAAGGCCAAAGGCGAAGGAAAUUUCUUCAAGACAGCAAUCUAGAAACUCUAUUUGAGUUUCUAGUCUGUGGAGGUAAGACUCAAACUUCAGCUCCUACCUGACAUGUUAGCCUUCCAGAUUCUAAUGCCGUACAGACUUUUGAGUUGUCAGUCCUCACAAAACCCAAUUUCUUAAAAGUCCCCCUUCUUCCAUUUGUAGGUGUAUACACGUGUAUGCAGAAAAACUAUCUCCAUGUACUUGUGUAGGAAAUACUAGUUUUGAUGUCAUAGAAAGUGGGUACAAGACCUCUUUAUACUCAAGAACCAUCCUUGAGAGAGAAAGAGAGAGAGAGAGAGGAACAUAUAACUCAUGAAUGGAAUCUUUUAAUGGUCCUUGCUUUGGUUCUUUAAGAGGCCUUCAUUUUUAUGUACUCACAACAUUUCCCUGUGUUAGAAUUCAAGAUGAAAGGGGGAAUGAAGAAGGUCCAUUUUUUUCCAUUGACUUCGUUUACAUCACCUUCGAAUCCUGGCAGAUGUAUUUUUAGAAGCCUGUAACUGAAUGGAGUUUUAUGAAGACAAGGUAACUUCCUGAACCUUCUACCCAGGCUAUUUCUGUCUUGCUACUUUGAAAGGGCUCACAAGCCAAGGCAAGAAGGAACAAAUAACAAAGGUGAGAAGAGAGCCCUGUUAUAUGCGAGGCAGGCUUCCACGGAACAUGUGAUUUAGGUAGCAGGAGGGAUGGAUAUGAAUCAUGAAAUUGUAUAGCAAUUUUUCCCCCCUAGGAAAAAAAGGUUCAAUGAAACAGGCCAACCUAUCAUUGAAAGUGACAUGACUGCUGGUUAAUUAUUGAACCGCAGAAAGGGCAACUGAUUUUGACUUUUUUUUUUCUUUCAAAAGCAGCUAAUUUCUGAGGAUAUAUUUUCCCCAGCUUUCCAGUGCAUUCAAUGUUACAGAAAAAUUUGGUGAUUCAUGUAAUUGAGCAAAAAUACGUGUUAUUAUAUAAGAGGAUGGAAAUGAUUAAACUAUCGCUGGGGUGCCUCUUAUUUCCGAAUCCAUUAUGCAAGAUGUCAUAGAUACUGAAGUUUUUAUUCUCUUAAUAGUGAAAACUAUUUUUUUGGCUGAAAUGGUUGCAUGUAAAUCAUUUGUGUUAAGAACUCAGCACCAAAAUGAUAAUGCCUUAAUUCUGGAAGCUUUCUUUGGAGGAGGCUGAGCACCAGGUGGUACUAGGAGCACCAAUAAGAGAAUGUAAUUUCUAAUAGAGCAAGGGCUGUACUGCCAGACAGAUUGAGCUGCAGGGCCACACUGACAAGUUGGGGGCUCUGGGAGGUGUUUUCUCCCACCUUCCCUUUUUGGGAUCUCAUUCAGUUUUCUCUCCUAGACAGUUGUGGGAUAAAAUAGAAUAGUGGUUUUCAUCCUGUCUGGACAUUCCCAGGAAGAUUUAAAGCAUGGAUUUUUGAGGCCCAACACCAAAAUUCCUACUUAAUGUUCAGGGGCAGGGGCUUAGAAAUCAGGGUUAGUUCUAAUAUGCAGUCGAGGCAGGGGUCACUACUCUCCUGGAGAACAGAGUAACUCAUGGAUUACAGAGUACCAAAGCAUGAAGAGGUGAAGUUAUCAAUAAGGCAAGUGCUAUUCAGAGACAAAGAUCUGUUCUAAACCAUACAGCAUAUCCAUAACGGAAUACUCAUUGUACUUUGACCUAGUUGUCAUUUGUUAUUGUUGUUUUGUUUUUAAAUGAUGCUCCGCCAUGCAGACUUUGAUUGAUAGCUAGGGAGAAAUUAAGAGACUCAACAGGGCUUGUGAGUGUCGUCAGAAUAUUGUAGCAAUAGAUUCCCACUUCUUUUAUAUAGGACCCUGGCAUAAUGCCCUCACCGAGACUGUUGUGGGUUGUUGAGUAUCUAGAUCUAGACUGAGUCAGUUCUCCUAGCACACCUGUGUUGAGCUUGAUGCCUGAAGUUACAGUGCUUUCCAUAUAGGCGUGGCAUCCUCAAAGACUCAUUGGAAACCCAUGUGAACCCUUUUAGAGUUUGCCUUCAGUCCAUAUAUCAUCAUGGCAUGGCCUUUGCUGGGGGGAAGCCACAGUCGGUCCCCAUCAACUAGUGGAAAGGAUCUUUUAGGGAGGAGGAUCCCUGUCGCUGCUUUGAGUGUGAAGAUGCAUGGAGUAGGAGCUGCCUUUAGUCAAAAUCCAAUGCACACGAAGCAUAAGGUACCACCUUAGCUUGCCUAGUAUCUCUUCAGAAACCACCUUUUCUCAUCCCUAGGUUAUAUGCAUGUGGGCAUCUCUACACUAAACUUGGGGCUGGAAACAGUGGUUGGCUGCAUCCCAGAAUUUAAUGGUAGGACCCUACUGCUGAAGAAAUUGCAUCCUUUGGCUGCCUGACUUGGAGAAAUAAAGCUAGAACCUGGCCCCAAGUGUCUCCACAGUGUGAGUUAGCGCCUGUAGUGCCAGAAGUUGCUACUAAGGAUGCUGGGAAGAGUAAACCCCCCAAGUCCUAUUUAACCUGCGAAUCCUGCCUGCUUCACAAGCAACAUGUGCCACUCAGUACAAUAGUGCCUCAGGUAAUCAUGGCUAGAGCCAAUCUUCUGCUUUGACUUAAGGUCAGCUCAGCAGGGGGAAAGUCAUAUCUGAUAUGGGGAAUUUAGACAAAAACCUUCGAGUACAGAAGUCAGAUGCUCCAGUGGAGAAGCAACUGCCAUUGAUUGGUCAACUGAUGUACCAGCUAAUGUGCUUCCUCACUUUGGUGUUUGCAAGUGUUGGUUCCUACUCCAGUCCAUGUCCAUUUGGAUUUUUUUUUCCCACUUUCUGUUUUUUAUCCACUUCCUCAUUGUGUUCUGAGUAGGAGAAACGAACUCCAAGACUUGCUGGUAGUUAUGGUCCAGAGACAGUCAUGAUGUCAGGGCACAAGGGUUUAGUAUAUCUCUUGAAAGAGAAUGAUCAGGGACCUUUAUCACCCACUUUAAGGCUUGCUUGGGAGCUCUUGCAGAGGAGGAGGAGGUGGAGGAAAGAAUACAAAUCAGAGGAGGAGGUGGACUCUGUACAUCCAUCGAGCCAAACAACUGCCAUCUUGAGGUGCUCAGCUAUGCUUGUUUGCAAAUGAUCCACACAGCUGAGCUUGUUGACUGUUUAUACCCUCUCAUGGAAGGGUGGGGCGUGCCAUGGGAUCUUCACCUGAGUAUCCAGUCACUCCCUACCACCUAUUGUAUCCAAUUUUGCCUUAAUUGCACAGGCUUUCAUGGAGAGGCCAGAGUAUAUAAGCUGGGAAUGCUAGGAAAUGUGUGUUCCAUGUAUUCAACUGUGGGGAAUCCCUCUUCCUUGUUGGAUAAAGACUUUCCAGGUCUUUUCCAUGUAGGUAGCCCUGCACCUAUGAUCUGUAAGGAAGUUCAGUAGAAUCAUUGGUUCCCUAGAGAAGUGGUUCUCAACCUUCCUAAUGCUUUGACCCUUUUAAUAUGGUCCCUCAUGUUGUGGUGACCCCCAACCAUAAAAUUUUUGUUGCUAGCUGUAAGUUUUCUACCAUUAUGAAUGGUAAUGCAAAUGUUUUUUGGAGAUGGAGAUUUGCUGUGGAUCGAGAUUUGCUUCCCUAAAGUGAGCUUUGCCGAAAUCCUAACUCAAAUUCUUGUUAGGUCUAUAGGAAGACAGGUAGAUCAAACUCUCCCCCAGUAGGAAGGAGUUUUAUCAGCAAGGCCCUAAGACUUCCUGGUACUGGGAAGAAGAGGUUUCCUUCUGUGGGAUGAUCCAGAACUCCAGUAUCCAGAGGUUAGGGAGGAAUUAAAAGAGGCACAUUACUAUCUUCUAUCAUGGGAGCCACUGGAUCAAGCCUUGCCUGACGUUCCCUGUGUGUCUCUGAAGGCUUUGGGUUUCCCAGUUACAUGACAUAUCACCUUUAAUCCCCUACUCUUUUUCUCUUUGGCUUGUUUGCGUUGGAUGUUUUUCCCCUCCAACAAGGGUCCCAGAACUUAUUUUUGUCUUAGCUAAUUUGGUGCUUGGUAAAUUUUGCCAUUCAAGAUAUCAAGCCAUAUUAAGUUCAUUGCAAAGGACCUCAACGUGAGUGAUGGAAAAUUAGAUACAUUGGCUGUAUUGCCAGAUCUUUUGAUGGCAGUGUGAUUUCAGGAGCUAGGAGAAAGAAAGAAAUAAGUUUGGUUCUCUGUGUAGCAUUCAGAUUGGGUUAGAAUCGAUUAUAUUGAACAAAAGGAAACCCUGUGAAGUCAUUGAUUAAUGUAAUCAAAACAAGAUUCUAACAGUGAAAAGCAAAAUAAUCUUCAGAGAUGCAACCUGUAUUUGCCUUAUAGUUAUAUAUAUAUGUAUAUAUAUGCCUUAUAAAUUAUUUCUAGAUCACUUAUAAUAUAUAUGUCUUGUAAAUAGUGCAGUAUAUUCUGUCUAGGGAAUAAUGUCAAGAAAAAGAAUAUACAUUCAGUUUUUAUGUUUAGUUUGUGCAGUAUAUUCUGUCUAGGGAAUAAUGUCAAGAAAAAGAAUAUACAUUCAGUUUUUAUGUUUAGUUUUGUGGUUUUUUUAGAUGAGUCUUGCUAUGUAGCUAGCCUUAGUUGGCCUGCCUUGGAGUUCACUGUAUAAACCAAGAAUAGUCUAGGACUUAGAGGAUUCCUUCUACCCUUGUCCCCAGAGUGCUGUGAUGUCAGGUAAAUUACCAUCACAUCUGGCCUAACUGAUGCACUUCAACAACAGUGAUAGCUUUGUUCCAUGGAUGGUUAAGUGCUGAGAUGCUACGCUCUCCGGUAGCGUCAGCUUGACAGUCUGAGGCUUGAAAGCUACUCACGAGGCAAAAGAGUUUCACAGAAACUCGCUCCUGGAGUCUGGCGUUCUCUCUAACCCAUACAUUAAUUUUCCAUUCCCGCGUUAAUCUAGUGGAUGGAUCCACAUGCUCUCUUUUAGUAUUACCCUAUUAUAAGUGCCUUUUAAGAUUGAAUUCUGACAUAGCUAAAGCCUUCUGCCAGUGUUCCAACAGUCCUAGAACGUUCUUGAGCAAGACCUUGGGCUUGAAUUCAGUAAGAAUGUUGCUAUUCACUGACAUACUCUGGUACUACAGUAUCACUUUGAAUAAAAGCUAAGUCACUCCCUUACACAGGAAUUUACCAUCACUAAGGAAGAAGGAAGUUUCAGACCAAAGGAGAAACCAGGAUAGAUACUUAGAACUAUAGCGGAGUUACACCCAUACACACAUAUUUACAAUGGCCUAAGGAGAAGGUGGACUAUACAAUAGACUAAAAUAGGCACUAUGGCAAGGGCACGAAGCCCUUGACCCUGGCUUCUAAGAUUAGUGAAUCUUAGGUGGAGCCCUUGUUGAUCCCAGAUGUUAACAAUAAAUUCUAUCCCAGGUGGUUCCUGUUAGACAGACCUUUUGUGUUUGCAUUCCUCUGUUUUAUGUAAGAUUCCAGUUACCUCAUUUGUACCUUGUGGGUAUGUCACCCAACUUCCUUAUUGUCUUCUGCAUAAAAAGUCUGAUGCUCGAUUUGACAAAAUACAUUCAGAUCCUACACAACCUCUCCCGUGUUGGUCUGUCUGGCAAUUCAUCCAACGCUUUGCCCACCCGCGACUAGAGACCCGUUCCACGCAGACAAAGGGGCCCAGAGGGUCUGUGGCACUGAGACAGAUCCCAAGGAGGGCUACUGAGGUCCCACUUGCUCAUUUGUGACUUAGAAUUGUGCUGACUUUUUUAUGAUCCAGUGGGGAAUGAGAAAUCCAUCACCAUGAUGUAGCCUCUAAACAGUUUAAUAUCCCUAAGUGCCAAAAAGCAUAAAAGUGAGAUCUGAAGAAGAAAAGGUACAGUAGAGUGAGGAACAAAAGCCAGGUGGGAAGGAACAAAGGCUGUUUAAGCAUCAGGGUAGAAGGCCCUUCCAAGUAGAGAACAUUCUGGAAGCAUGUUAAGGGUUUGUAUUGUCUUAUGCAGAAAGGGGAGUCUUAAUUUCUUUGUAACCAGUUUGAGAUUUCAGAGUCCUUGGCUUUUUCGUUUAUUGGAAAUACCCAAUUGCUUCAUGAAUUGGCCGCAAACGCAUCUCAGUAAAUUAUUUAUGUGGCAUGUCACUGCGGCUGCAGGUUCCUAUCAAGCCACAGCUGUAUAAACAAAGACUAUUAACCUAUUGGCUGGAUUUAGAAGACACUUCAGACUGUUUAAAUCUACUGACAUUUUGAAGGUCGGCGUCUCUAGAUUAUUCACAAAUCAACUGUUGAAUGUGACAGGGCUGUUUCUAAACAGCCCUGAAAGCAAUGUCAGUUAUAAUGUCAGUGUGUUCUGAGGGUUACUUUCGGAAGAUGUGGGGCCUGGUGUUUUAUAUCUGCUCAGAAGCAUGGAGACAACCUGCAGAGGGACUGAGAAGAGGAGUCAGGAUAGCUCAAGAAGCAGGCAGGGUCCAGACAGGCUUUCAGGUAAAUAUGUAAGCUCUUAUAUUUUUCUUAAAGAACGUGUGACUAGCAGUAGUAAAUGAUUUAUUUGCUAACUAUGAAAUACAGUUUUUCCUUCCUGCCCCUCAUUUUCUUUCAGAAAUAAUCUUUUAGGUAGAUGUGUUUUGUCAGGCCUGAUCCCAAUCUGGGUUGUUAUUUACCAGUGAAUCCCAGGAAGACUCACCGUAGACAAUGAGACAAAGGAAGAAGAGGCCAGUGGUUGGGGGAGACAUCUGGAUCAGCCUUUUGGGAACCGUUGAGUAAAUGGGGUACCCAGUUACCACUCUGUCUUUGUUAGGGAUGAAGUGCUUCCGGCUCUUUGGAACCUAGAGAAUCCCCCAGGCCGAGGGGGAGAAAGGCUAGGGAUAUUGUAUUAGAAGUCUUUAGUAGGCAAGGAAGGACUGUGGCUCAUUCAAGUGAACAGGGCAAAGGAUAAACUACAGUGGGGACACCAAUGAGUCACUGUACUAAAAAGGUCAUUUUUAUAUAACUGAAAACUUGGUUUUGUCAGGACACACUACACCUCUUUUCUUCAGCCAGAAGAGUGUCUAUUUGAUGCAUUUUUUUUCUUUCCAGAAAAGGACUUUAGUGAAUUGUUUUGAGUCAGGUUUCCUAGCUGUAUCUUCCAAUAAUAUUGCUAUGAUCUAUGAACACCAAGGUAAUAAAACCACAGCUAAAUUUCCAGAGAAGCUCUGAGGCAUGAGAUAUUGUAAAGGCAUUGCAAUCAUGCUUUAGGGAUUUUUCAUAACUUGAGAAAAUGCUAAGUAAACUGUUAAGUGAGAAAAAAAAUCAGAUUAUAAACUACAUACAAUUAGUUAUAUGAGAAAAUAUUUUCUCAUAGACGGGAAGAAAUACACCAAGGGAAGGAUACUGCUUACCUGUAGAAGGGGAGGCUGCAUAAGGGAUCAUUUUUUCACUCUUAAUACUUCUCAUUUCUUAAGUGAUCUCCAUUAAGCUUUAAAAAGGUUUAUGGAGUAACUGCAUUUGUUUGGGCUUCUCUCCACGAUCAGAUUGAGUGGGAAGCUCACAGAAUGAGCCUCAAGUUUACAGAUGUGUGCUCACCUCUGUGUAUAACAUGACGGAGCAGUUUCCCUAUAAACAGACUCUCUUGCACUCGCUGACUGGAACACUUCCAUUACGCAUCACAUAGCUGUCUUUGCUUCUGGUUCCCUUAGGCGACCUUACAGUCUCUCUAUGCUCAAUUCAAAAUUAGCUCAUGGGCCUGCUUCUGGGAAAACUUGCCAGAUCACCAGGGCAGACCGCAGCACUGGAUCUGCCCAUCUAGGCUCUUGCAGAGGUCUUAGGGAGGGGUCACUCACUCCUUGGUUUGGAGAAGACCAUCGAGGAGGCAGUAACUGGAGGGGAGUCCAUUUGUUUGUUUUUGGGGGCCAAGCUGAGGGCUGCAUUCUGGUUGCUGUUCCUUUAGCUUCUGUGUUUAGUGAGCAGCUACACAGUCUAAGGUAGCCAGAGGACAGACCUUUCUCACCUCCAUCUGAGAAUCAGCGCAGGGCAGGGAGUCUGAGGACAGUUCUGAAAGGAGGCUAUUUUGCACCUCCAAACUCCAUUCACUCAGCCAGCUUUGUAACAGGGUUGAUAGAGCCCUCAGGAGGGACAGCGAGAGGCUCACUUUCCCAAAGAUUUGAUACAUCACUGCAUCUAAUUUAGCAAGAUUUGAACACAAGGCCUUGUGUGUACCUGCCUGUUCUGUCACUAUAUGACAGUCAGUUUGGGCUACCCUUGACCACCUCACUAAGGUAAACGCUCAUGAUUCUUUUUUUUUUUUUUUUUAAACAGUUCUCCAACCCCUUAAGCCUUGGGCAACUUUGCUUAAGGAAUUGGAAAAGGUUGGCUUUGACUUGCCUCACUGUGGACAUUAGGAGGGGCUCUGUGUGGUGGUUUUUAUACAGCAGUGUGCCUGCCAUUUGAUACCAGAGUGAAAAGCUACCUGAUAAGAGACCUUAUAGUAAAUGUGAAAGGAAAAAAAAUAAAAAAUAAAAACAAGGCAACAGGGAUACAGUAAUUAGGAUUUCCAUGGGGUGAUAUUUGCACCCCUUAUGCCAAUAUUGACUCAGUAAGUUUGAGUCUGAAAAAUAAAACCGGUUUGCAUUUGAGUCAACCAGGCAAAGUGCAGGGAGUCUGCCUCAUGGAGGUAUUCCCGAGACCUGGGACUCAGCCUGGAAACCAGCAAGCACUGUGUUAUAUAUACCUAACCUGGAGUCUCCCACUGUAGAGAUGCCCACACCCCAUCUACAUUAAUCUCUGCUGGCUCUCUGCAGCUUUUCCUCCCAGUGGCUUGAGAAAUAAUGAGUCAAAUCAACUGCAAGUGGUGACAUAUGGCCUUAUGAAAGCAAUCAUUCUAUUCUAACACAGGGUUGCAGUGUGCACUUCCCUCCCUUACUGUUUGCCCUGAGAGGACUUCAUGUAAAGUUCCCUCUUGUCUUGAGAAGGUUCACUGACCAGGGCCUUCUGCUACAUGGAUGGACGAAUGAACAUUUAGUUGGCUAAUCAUCCUACUGUGGGCAUAUGUCUUAGUUAGGGCUUUACUGCUGUGGACAGACACUAGGACCAAGGUGACUCUUAUAACGACAACAUUUAAUGGGUCUGGCUUACAGGUUCAGAGGUUCAGUUCAUUAUCAUCAAGGCAGGAACAUGGCAGCAUCCAGGCAGGCAUGGUGCAGGAUGAGUUGAGAGUUCUAUAUCUUUAUCUGAAGGCUGCUAAAAGAAUACUGGCUUCUAGGCAGCUAGGACUAGAGUCCAUACCCACAGUGACACACGUACUGCAACAAGACCAUAAUUCCAAAUAGGGCCACUCCCUGAACCAAGCAUAUUCAAACCAUGACAGUAUGGUAGGACCAAAGAUUAUUACAAAAGAUCUGCAAAGAGGACAAGGUUUGAGAGGGGCAGGGUGUUUGGGAGGGAGCCGUUAAUAAAGAAGCCUCCGUUACCAAGAGGGGCAGGGCGAGGAUGUCUAGAGUAGGAAUACACCUUCAUUUGGUACAGAAAAGCCCAAGGAAGCUGCAAAUUCUCACAGCAAAGGGUUACAUGAUGAUUCUGAGAAAAUGGAGACUCCUGUUCAGAGUUCAGUUCCUACAGGAACUAUCUUUUAAACAGUACCCCCUGCCAUGUGUGUGCGUGUGUGCAUCCCCCCCAUGUGUGUGCAUGUGUGCACCCCCCCUUGUGUGUGUAUGUGUGCAUCCCCCAUGUGUGUGUAUCACGCCCAUGUGUGUGCGUGUGUGCUCUAUGCACUUUUACCCAAGACUUCACAUCUGAGUGGUCCUUAUAAGCAACUUGCUUACCACAAAGCCACUGGACACACUUUAGGUUUUGUUGGCUGAAACGUCUGUGACUUUGGUUGGCCAGAGGCUGAAAUGGGUGUAGGCCCAGGGCUUCUGACUCCUUCAGAAGUCUCUUUCAUCUUAGGCUGAGAAUGUUUCUUGGAGAAAACAAACAUAUAAGCAGAAAGUUAUCGUGGAGGCAUCAGAAUGAGCCAGUGUGACAUGGGAAACCGGAACCUUCUAUUUCAUCAGUUGUAAGUAUGAGAAAUCUUCCUCUGCUGGCAUUAUUAUGAUUUGUCCUGGUUAUGCUAUAAGGAAAAGACUGUUUUGUUUCCCCUACACCAAGGACAGUCCUCUUUCUCUCUGGGCUCUUCCCUAGCCUUUCAAACCAUCUGUGGUUUAUUGUGGUCUGACUAUGAAUGUCACACACAGGCUCCUAUGUUGAACACUGGUCCCUAGAUGGUAAUACUGUUUGGGAAGUUUAUGGAACCUUUAGGAGGUGGAGUCUCACAGAAGGAAGUAGGCCAUUGGGGGUAGGCCUUGAGGUUUCAUAGCUCAGACCUGCUUCCUGCCUGCAGACAUAAUGUGGCCAGCAGCCUCUUGUUCCUGUCUUGAUAGUUUUCCUACCAAGGUGGACGUCUGCCUUCUUAAGCUGUAAGCUAAAAUAAACCCUUCUCCCUUUAGUGGCUUCUUGUCUAUAAUCUGAUCUCAGCAGUGAGAAAGGUGACAAAUGCAGCAUAGAAAUUUAGGGUGGCUCUGAGGGAUCCAUUACACACACACACACACACACACACACACACACACAAGAGACUGGUCUCCGGGUGGUUCCUUAAUUAGAUUAUCCAAACCUUUCAUUUUCCCCCUUGUUUUAGGAAAAAAAAAAAAAACCCUUUUAUUGCAGAAUGAACACUUUCCAAAUGUAGUAAUUCUUAUAGCUACAACUAUUUAAAAAA